AUUCAGCUCCGGAUUGGCAAGCUCUCUUGCGGAGGUACCGAGACGGUGAAUGCCGUCGGCACCCUGAUUGCAGUCAACACCCUCGCGCUGGUCAUCUACAUACCCUUCGUCGCAAACGCCAUCCUUAACUCCACGAAGAUCUUCGACCACCUAGACUAAUGAAAAAGAUUGCUCUUCCGAACCUUCGGCAGGUGCAGAAUUCUAAGUUCGAUGCUAUGUCUUUACUUACAAAACUAGCUAACAUAAGCUGGGAGACGAGUGUUUGAAUAAAAGGGGCAGCUUUCUUUGCUUCCCGUGGUGGGUGUGAGUCCAAAAUAUGUUAUUUGUGUUCA